AUGGGCAUCCGAGCCCUCUGCUGUGUGGCCCUUUGUCUCCUGCGGGUAGAGCCCACAGAUGCUGGAGUCACCCAGACACCCAGGCAUGAAGUGACAGAAGUGGGACAUGCAGUAACUCUGAGUUGUGUGCCGAUUUCAGACCACACCGUGCUUUAUUGGUACAGACAGACCUUGGUGCAGGGAUUGGAGUUUCUGAUUUACUUCCGCAACCAAGCUCCCGUAGACGAGUCAGGGAUGCCCAAGGACCGAUUCUCAGCUAAGAUGCCUAACGCAUCCUUCUCCACUCUGAAGAUCCAGCCCACAGAACCGGGGGACUCGGCCGUGUACCUCUGUGCCAGCAGCAACAUCACAGGCAGAUAUGCCUAUGAGGGACCAGGGACUCUCCGAACUCCCACCUCUCAACCCAGAGCUCGGAGUCUCAUUCCUGUCCCGGCCCUGCCACGGGCCCCAGGCUUCUCCGCUGUGUGGCCCUUUGUCUCCUUGAGCAGCAACGCGACUCUCCUUCUUCACUCUGUCUCUGAAUCUUCCACCUCCUCUGCAGCUCACGUGGGUGCCAUGGUCAUCCAGAACCCAGGACACCUGGUUACCAGGACGGGAAAACCAGUGACCCUGAGCUGUUCUCAGAAUCGGGAUCAUGAAGUCAUGUUCUGGUACCAACAGAAGCGGAGCCAGGCACCAUGA